rnacentral:tRNA from 1 species
GCCCAAGUAGUGUAGUGGCCUAUCAUAGACCCCUGUCACGGGUCUGACCCGAGUUCGAAUCUCGGCUUGGGCG